ACAGUGCUUAGGGGGUGAGGUGCUGGCAUCAGAGGCAAUAGGGGUGGACCCAGUGAGUGUGCUUAUCUGGAGUGUAUGUUUACAAACUCUCAACUCUACAUGGAAAGGGACAACUUCUGCCUGGGACAAUGCCACAGGACUACUUACUUGGGCAAUGGGCACAGAUCAUAAUCAGGUGAUCAUUGGCUGAGAUACUGCCAUAAGCCAGAACGGGACCUCAGGUCAGCUGUUCUUCUGUCUCUUUGCCCUUGGCUAGGACUGCAUUGGCUACUGGUCCUGAAGCCCAGGGCAGGGUCCUUGGGGUAGGGACUCCUUCCAAAGGUUUGGCUGCCAGUGUGCAACAUGGGGUCCUUACUAACUAACCUGGACCACUUCCAGUUUUCUCUGGCUUGGGAAAGCAGCCUGUGGGGGUUGGCUUUCUACUCUAGCUGGAAGGCAGGACUCUGUUAGACAGGCACUGCCCUCCCCCAUGUCUCCCCGUGAUUUCUACGACACUGUAAAUAAACCAACACCAGGAUUAAACCCAUGGAGGAUGGUGGUGGGGGACACAGAGCGUGGACUGGAAUUGGAACUGCAGAGCCAAUCAGCAUCUUUCUUUCUCAUGGAAUUCAAAGGAGAAGGCUGAUGAAGACCAGGAUCUCCAGGGGCAGGGUCCCAGGUCCUACCACAGCUGUGCUGGAAUCCUUAGGAAAGAGAGGCAGGGUGACUCUUCCAGUGUCCUUUCCUAAUCACCCAGGGCCACCGACGCUGGCCUAAUCUAUCUGGCUGAAACUGUCUGCCUCAGCUGAGGUUAUUGUGUUUCGCUCUGAGAUGCUUGGAUUUACUGGGUUUAUUGAAUCAUUUUUCACUCUGCAUCUGUGGUAACCAGACUUGGAAAUGAAAAGUCACAUGGUGUCUAAGCAUGAUGGAAGAGGAUUGGGUGAGCGCAAGAGCCUGCCAUCAUGUUGGGGCUAAGAGACAGGGGCAGAGGAGAGCCAUGCUGGUGGUCCUGUGGUCAGAACAGCAUGGCAGGAGACCACGACCAAUGCCCAGCUGCUAGGAGAAGGAGCCUGCCUCGCAGAGCUCUCCACACAUCUGAUUGCAUUCCAUACCUCCUUUGUCAUCUAGCUACAGCAUGCUAUAACUGUAAUAUCUACAAGGCAGAAAAUAAUAGACCUCUUUGUUUAGGGGAUCUUUUAGAACAUUAAAUGGAAAAAUAAGUACGAAA